UACGUAGGGCGCGAGCGUUGUCCGGAUUUACUGGGCGUAAAGAGCUCGUAGGUGGUUUGUCGCGUUGUUCGUGAAAACUCACAGCUCAACUGUGGGCGUGCGGGCGAUACGGGCAGACUGGAGUACUGCAGGGGAGACUGGAAUUCCUGGUGUAGCGGUGGGAUGCGCAGAUAUCAGGAGGAACACCGGUGGCGAAGGCGGGUCUCUGGGCAGUAACUGACGCUGAGGAGCGAAAGCGUGGGGAGCGAACAGG
rnacentral:rRNA from 1 species